GAUAAAUUAAAACAAUCUUUACCAUUCAGUGAUAACAAGCACUUUUUUUACAUUUUAAUAUUUUAUGAUGUAUUUAAAUGAGUAAUUAUUGUUGCAAACUCCAUUAGAAAUUUGAAUUGAGAUCGGUUAUGGAAUAAAGGAAAAGGGGAUGUGAAAAAAAAAUUGAGGGGGGGGGGUUAAAUUUUUCUCAUUUGAAAUUUCAUAAAUAAAAAGAAAAUUUCUUCAAACAUUUUUUUGAGAGGAUUAAUAUUCAACAGCAUAGUGAACUUCUGUGGUGUAAGUAUGAUGCGUUAAUAAAAUCACAUUUGGUGGUGAAUGAGUAGUAUAAACGGCCGCGAAGGUUACAAAUAUGAUGUUAAUUGUCUUCUAAUUGUUGAAAUUAUAAUUCUUAAAAUUUUAAAUCAAAAGUUACCCACAUCUAAAAAUAAAGUUACGGACAGUCUGCUUAGUUUCGAUCAAAAAGUUACGGACAUCUUAUGCAUUUUUUAAAGUUGACCUUGCGCUUUAGUGAACUCUAUAUUAACAAAUUU
rnacentral:lncRNA from 1 species